rnacentral:lncRNA from 1 species
GCUGGUGAAAGGUGCCUGCGGCUGCCAAUAGGGCUGCAUGAAUGACGUAUCACCUGUAGCCCUAGAGCGGUUGUGGCCAGACUCUGCCGGCAGUUCUGCAUUUCCGUUCUGGGCACCGGAAGACUCAGGGGCAGAGCUCAGAGGAGUAGGUCACGUGAGCUGAUCUAGUGCUGGGUGGUGAAGUGGAGGCAAGGAGCCGGGCAUUCAGUGGGAGGCUGGUGCUCUCCCAGGCUGCUGCCCGACCUGAGAGUGCAUGGUUCCUCCAUGAAGACUUGGCUCCAACCCACCCUCACGUUCACCCUCUCCACAGAUUCCCUCAUAGUCCUGGAGAACCAGCAACGAUCGUGGGGUCUUACUGCUCAGAUGCCUUUUGGUUGCAAGCAACAGAAACCAACUCAAGCUGGUCUAAGCAUCUCCUAGUCACUUUGCCUCCCAGAUACUUGCCUUUGCUCACCUGGCUUGUCAUUUCCUUACACGCGGCAGCAGGCACGUGUGCUGUGUCCUUCCUACCGCGGAGUAAUUCGUGUUCAUUGCAAAGCUUGGGAGCAGAGCAUACUACACAAUUCAACUACAAUUCAUCUGUGUUCUCACCAGCUGUCCACAAACUGCCAUGUAAGAGAUCUAGCUUUUUUCAUGCAUGUGUCUAGGUGAGUAUCAAUGGAUAUACUUUUGAGACAAAAAUAAGACCAUGUUUUUAUGCUGUGUCCCAAUCUAUGCUCUCCUGCGUGUGCUUCCUAAACAUGAUUCCUGCUACUAAAUAUUCUUACCUGUGAUUCUAAUCCUGCAUGGUGUUGCAUCAUGGAGAUGGGCUGUCGUUUACUCACCAGGCCCCUGUUAUGGCAAUUAGGUCAUUUCCAGUUUUUCUCUGCAGACCCUAGCUUUGGUUAUUCCCUUUUCAGAUUUAGAAACACUGGGACAGACUGGGAAAUCGAAUACUAGACUUUGGUUGAGAGGGAGGGGAUGAGUGUAAGGGUGAAUUGAGAAUGAUAUCCAGUCUUCAAGUUUUGGUCACCUGGGAAGACGAUGGUGGCUCAGGAUGGAGGAAAGAUGAUGAGUUUUGCGGCGAGUCUGACACCGAGUUGUUAGACAAUAGAGGUGCCUGACGGCCAAGUAGAAACAAGGGUCUGGGCUUGAGAUAGCCAUCAGGAGUGAACUUCCUCGAGGUGGGAUUGAAGCCUUUAGCACAGGGCUGUC